GACGAACGCUGGCGGCGUGCUUAACACAUGCAAGUCGAACGGAAAGGCCCUGCUUUUGUGGGGUGCUCGAGUGGCGAACGGGUGAGUAACACGUGAGUAACCUGCCCUUGACUUUGGGAUAACUUCAGGAAACUGGGGCUAAUACCGGAUAGGAGCUCCUGCUGCAUGGUGGGGGUUGGAAAGUUUCGGCGGUUGGGGAUAGACUCGCGGCUUAUCAGCUUGUUGGUGGGGUAGUGGCUUACCAAGGCUUUGACGGGUAGCCGGCCUGAGAGGGUGACCGGCCACAUUGGGACUGAGAUACGGCCCAGACUCCUACGGGAGGCAGCAGUGGGGAAUAUUGCACAAUGGGCGGAAGCCUGAUGCAGCAACGCCGCGUGCGGGAUGACGGCCUUCGGGUUGUAAACCGCUUUCGCCCGUGACGAAGCGUGAGUGACGGUAUGGGUAAAGAAGCACCGGCUAACUACGUG
rnacentral:rRNA from 1 species